rnacentral:rRNA from 1 species
AACGAACGCUGGCGGCAGGCUUAACACAUGCAAGUCGAACGCACCGCAAGGUGAGUGGCAGACGGGUGAGUAACACGUGGGGAUCUGCCCAAUGGUACGGAAUAGCUCCGGGAAACUGGAAUUAAUACCGUAUGAGCCCGCAAGGGGAAAGAUUUGUCGCCAUUGGAUGAACCCGCGUCGGAUUAGCUAGUUGGUGUGGUAAAGGCGCACCAAGGCGACGACCCGUAGCUGGUCUGAGAGGAUGAUCAGCCAAACUGGGACUGAGACACGGCCCAGACUCCUACGGGAGGCAGCAGUGGGGAAUAUUGGACAAUGGGCGCAAGCCUGAUCCAGCCAUGCCGCGUGAGUGAUGAAGGCCUUAGGGUUGUAAAGCUCUUUCGCCGACGAAGAUAAUGACGGUAGUCGGAGAAGAAGCCCCGGCUAACUUCGUGCCAGCCGCCGCGGUAAUAC